rnacentral:rRNA from 1 species
CGGCAUGCCUAAUACAUGCAAGUCGAACGAGCUUCCGUUGAAUGACGUGCUUGCACUGAUUUCAACAAUGAAGCGAGUGGCGAACUGGUGAGUAACACGUGGGAAAUCUGCCCAGAAGCAGGGGAUAACACUUGGAAACAGGUGCUAAUACCGUAUAACAACAAAAUCCGCAUGGAUUUUGUUUGAAAGGUGGCUUCGGCUAUCACUUCUGGAUGAUCCCGCGGCGUAUAAGUUAGUUGGUGAGGUAAAGGCCCAACAAGACGAUGAUACGUAGCCGACCUGAGAGGGUAAUCGGCCACAUUGGGACUGAGACACGGCCCAAAACUCCUACGGGAGGCAGCAGUAGGGAAUCUUCCACAAUGGACGAAAGUCUGAUGGAGCAAUGCCGCGUGAGUGAAGAAGGGUUUCGGCUCGUAAAACUCUGUUGUUAAAGAAGAACACCUUUGAGAGUAACUUGUUCAAGGGUUGACGGUAUAUAACCAGAAAGCCACGGCUAACUACGUGCCAGCAGCCGCGGUAAUACGUAGGUGGCAAGCGUUGCCCGGAUUUAUUGGGCGUAAAGCGAGCGCAGGCGGUUUUUUAAGUCUGAUGUGAAAGCCUUCGGCUUAACCGGAGAAGUGCAUCGGAAACUGGGAGACUUGAGUGCAGAAGAGGACAGUGGAACUCCAUGUGUAGCGGUGGAAUGCGUAGAUAUAUGGAAGAACACCAGUGGCGAAGGCGGCUGUCUAGUCUGUAACUGACGCUGAGGCUCGAAAGCAUGGGUAGCGAACAGGAUUAGAUACCACUGGUAGUCCAUGCCGUAAACGAUGAGUGCUAAGUGUUGGAGGGUUUCCGCCCUUCAGUGCUGCAGCUAACGCAUUAAGCACUCCGCCUGGGGA